CUUACCGCACAGCGUAUAUUCAUGCGGAUACUCUCUUUCCUAUGACUACGCGUUUAAAUAUAUAAAAAAAUUCUGUGUAAGGGUAUAUUAGCAGCAGCAUCACCGCCACUGCCAGAAGGAUAUCCACCAUUACCACCACCACCACCAAAUCCAUUUGAUGAGUAACCACCGUUACCACCGUUACCACCGUUGCCACCGCCGUUGUAUCGUCCAAAGCCUCCUACAUAAAAUAGUAAGUAAACCGUACCAUUUCCACCGUUUCCUCCGUUACCGCCGGGACCACCGGAAGAAUAGCCGCCGUUACCACCGUUACCGCCGGGUCCACCGGAGGGAUAACCACCAUUACCACCAUUACCGCCAGGUCCACC